GAUUUCUGGCCUAGCGGACCUGGCCCGCCUCGAAAGAGUGUGAGUUGUCGGCGUCUGCUGGUCAUCUUUCUAGAAAACGCCUCUGCCCUUUACUGGGUCGGGGGCGCGAUCUAGAUCUUUUACUUUGAAAAAAUUAGAGUGUUUAAAGCAGGCGUUUGCUAUGAAUACAUUAGCAUGGAAUAAUAAGUUAGGACUUCGGUUCUAUUUUGUUGGUUUCUAGGACUGAAGUAAUGAUUGAUAGGGAUAGUUGGGGGUGCUAGUAUUCAGCGGCCAGAGGUGAAAUUCUCGGAUUCGCUGAAGACUAACUUAUGCGAAAGCAUU
rnacentral:rRNA from 1 species